AUGGCUCCUCUUGUGCUGCAGGGAUCGAGGCUGAAGGGGCAGCUGGAGGCAGUGGGAGGUGUCCCUGGAACCUCACCAGUGCAGUGCAAGGUGAAGAAGAAUAAGCCCCAGCCCUGGUUUGACAUCAAGAGAAGUCCUCUUAGCCCAGACUGUGGUCCCUCAGAGUGCCCUGCAAGCCCAGCAAAGGUGAGCUCCUCAAUCCUGAACAGAUCGGCCCCACACAGAGUCAUGGAAUAUCCCGAGUUGGAAGGGACUCACAAGGAUCAUGAAAUGCAACUCUGGGCUUCACACAACACUGCUCAACUUUCAAACCCUGUGUCUGAGAGGAGUGUCCAAAUGCUCCUUGAACUCCAGCAGCUUGGGCUCGUGCCCACUGCCCUGGGCAGCCUGUGCCAUGCCCACCGCCCUCUGGUACAGAACCGUUCCCUAACCCCCAGCUGCCCCUCCACUGACACAGCUCCUUGCCGUUCCCUCAGGCCCUGUCGCUGUCACAGAGAGCAGAGCUCAGCGCUGCCCCUCCACUCCCUGUGAGGAGCUGCAGCCACCAUGAGGCCUCCCCUCAGCUCCUGCUCUGGGCUGAGCAAACCCAGGGCACCUCAGCCCCUCCUCAUACACCUUGCCCUCCAGACCCUUCACUAUCUUUGUUACACACCUGCAGGGUAAUGCAGUACACAGUGUGAAAUCCCAGCGCUCUUCACAUUGCUGGGAGUUUUCACUGGGUCAGGGGUUUGCCCUUGAGUUAGAAGCCAAGUUCUUGAAAAGAGGCAUGGAGAUUAUAUUUGCUUUCCAGCUUUAGGGAUACACGUGUAGUUUCAGCCUAGAGAAAUAAGCCGAAGUGUUAUCUGAAGGUCUGGAGGGUGCAGUUAGCGUGGCACCUGGCUGCUGCCCCUGGCUGGGCUGAGCUCUGGAGCUCUUCUCCCUCAGCCCAGGUGGAGCCCUGUGGGGGUGGCAGGAGCCGGGACCAGCCAUGGGCUCUGUAAGAGGCCAGGUGCCGGUGUCCGGCCUGAGCUUUGAGGAUGGGAGGCUGCCACAACAGUACUGCUCCUUUCCCUUCAGGGGACCAAAGAGUGUGGGGCAGAGAAAGGCUGGCAUCUGGUUUCCUUGUUAUUUCUUUUCAUAAAUAAUCCCUUGUACUUGCACACCGGACUCUGACAGCACUGAGAACGCACAGGGUUGGUGGUUCCCCCCCCCCCCCCCUCCAAAACUUAUUCAUUUGGCUAGCCCUUAAACAAUAGGUUUUUGUCUAAAUCGUCACCAGUGAGACUGUCAGGAGAGGCCCCCUCUCCCCCUCCUGCUCUCCUCCUUUUGUCUCCAGUUGCGGGGUCGGGAUUCGCCGCCAAAUGGAGGCGGUGGCCGCUUUUCCAGGCCCCAGAUGCCAGCGCGUGGCAGCAUCUGGCUGCUUGGCAGGCAUGGGGCAGCUGCCUGGCCUGGCCCUGCUGCCACGGCUGCUGUGGGCAUGCGGGCCCCAACUGGGGCUUUGGGUGGCAGCGACACCUCCAAGGGGACAGGGAUCAUCCGGCUGCCGUCGGACUCCCGGCCCUGUUUUUUGUCCUGCUCAACGGCGUCUCAUGUAACCUUACCUCCUUGUGCUGAGAGCGUUUCGGGUGCCUUAAGGCAUGGAGCUCUUUGAAAGAGAAAUACAAAUCACUAGAAAUGUAGAGAUAAAACCCUCUCCUUGGAGGCCAUGUGUUUGGCAUGGGAAACGCAUGAUAACAGCUUGCUUUAGAAAGGUGACAUUUCCACUGAAGGCUGAAUAAUAAAAAAUGCAUUCUAAAAGCUGAGCUUUCCUCU
ensembl:lncRNA